GCUGGGUGCAGUGGCACACACCUGUAAUCCCAGCUGCUCAGGAGGCUGAGGCAGAAGGAUCACGAGUUCAAGGCCAGCCUCAGCAAAAAUGAGGCACUAAGCAACUCAGUGAGACCCUGUCUCUA
rnacentral:sRNA from 1 species